UACGGGGGGGGGCAAGCGUUGUUCGGAAUUACUGGGCGUAAAGGGCUCGUAGGCGGCCAACUAAGUCAGACGUGAAAUCCCCAGGCUCAACCUGGGAACUGCGUCUGAUACUGGAUGGCUUGAGUUUGGGAGAGGGACGCGGAAUUCCAGGUGUAGCGGUGAAAUGCGUAGAUAUCUGGAGGAACACCGGUGGCGAAGGCGGCAUCCUGGACCGACACUGACACUGAGGAGCGAAAGCCAGGGGAGCAAACGGG
rnacentral:rRNA from 1 species